UAGUAUCACGAACGUUCUCAGGUGUUAAACUCAACUCAGCAGAUGAGAUUUGAGUUUCCACUCAGCUGAGAAUUGAGUAUGACGGGGAUCUCACGAACGAACUCAAAAAUCAUCUCAGUUGAGACCGACUCAACUUUCCGAUUCAAUUCAAAUAUUUAUUAUUUCUUAAAGAUGUAAGCGACGUUCUUCAAAAGGAGAUUGAUUUAUUACAUUUUUACGGGAAAUAGUGUCAGUUUUCUUUUCGUCUACGAUAGUGAAAAUACCUAGGUGAGAUAUUUUUCUGAAAGCGAAAGGCUCUUUCUGUCUGAAAAAAUAAUACACCAUUACGAUGAGCUGUACGGUCAACUAAACAGGCUCAAACGGCAAUACGAUGUGAGCUGAAACAUGGAAAUCUAUGCUGACAAAUUUGCGAAGCAACUGUAAGCUUCAAGGCGACAGAACUGUUCAAGAAAUUAUAAAAAUGUUUGGGAAUACAAAAACAAGAGUGCCAUGUCAAGCAUGAAGACACAGCUUCACAUAAACCCAGAACAAAUGCUUAACGAGUCCAGAACCAGAAAUGACAUUCAUCCGGACAUAAACAAAAAUUUGGAUGAAGAACUCUUGCCCAACUUGUGUCUUUAAAAAAAGAAAUAUUUCAACGUUCAAUUAUUUCCAGAAAUCUUAAUCUGUAUUUACUGAUAUGACAUGAUGUGUAUAUUGUACACUCUAAAUAUUAUAAAUAACUCUUAAUAAAUAUGAAUGUUC